AUUGAACGCUGGCGGCAUGCCUAACACAUGCAAGUCGAGCGGAUGACGGCUGCUUGCUCCUGGAUUCAGCGGCUGACUGGUGAGUAAUUCCUUGGAAUCUGCCUGGUAUUGGUGGUUAUCGUCCGUAAAAGUGCGCUACUACCGCUUAUGUCCUGUGGGAGAUAGUGUGGGAUCCUCGGACCUCACGCUAUCAGAUGAGCCUUGGUCGGAUUAGCUAGUUGGUGGGGUAAAGGCCUACCAAGGCGACGAUCCGUAACUGAUCUGAGAGGAUGAUCAGUCACACUGGAACUGAGACACGGUCCAGACUCCUACGGGAGGCAGCAGUAGGGAAUAUUGCGCAAUGGGCGAAAGCCUGAUGGAGCAAUGCCGCGUGAGUGAAGAAGGUCUUCGGAUUGUAAAGCACUGUAAGUUGGGAGGAAGAGCAGAAAGAGAAACCGUUACGGGUGUGACGUUACCAACAGAAAAAGCAACGGCUAACUUCGUG
rnacentral:rRNA from 1 species